UACAGAGGUCCCAAGCGUUGUUCGGAUUCACUGGGCGUAAAGGGUGCGUAGGCGGUCGGGUAAGUCUGAUGUGAAAUCUCACAGCUUAACUGUGAAACUGCAUUGGAUACUAUCCGGCUAGAGGGAAUGGAGGGAGACGUGGAAUACUUGGUGUAGCAGUGAAAUGCGUAGAUAUCAAGUGGAACACCAGUGGCGAAGCGAGCUCCGGACAUUCCUGACGCUGAGGCACGAAGCCA
rnacentral:rRNA from 1 species